rnacentral:rRNA from 1 species
AGCGAACGUUAGCGGCGGGCUUAACACAUGCAAGUCGAGCGAGAAAAGGGCUUCGGCUCUGAGUAAAGCGGCGGACGGGUGAGUAACACGUAGGUAAUCUUCCUUCGAGCGGGGGACAACGUUCCGAAAGGGACGCUAAUACCGCAUACGUUCCCAGAGACCUCGGUCUUUGGGAGGAAAGCUAGCUAGGUAGCAAUACUUGGCCGGCACUCGAUGAGGAGCCUGCGUCGCAUCAGCUAGUUGGUGGGGUAACGGCCUACCAAGGCGAAGACGCGUAGCUGGUCUGAGAGGAUGAUCAGCCACACUGGGACUGAGACACGGCCCAGACUCCUACGGGAGGCAGCAGUAAGGAAUAUUGGUCAAUGGGC